GCCGGCGUGGCAGGGGCUCGCUGUGGCUAGCAGGUCUGCGAGCUUUGGGGAGUGUCUUAUCGAAACCUCACGCCGCCGUCCGCCGUUUACCAAAGAGAAAACUGAAACACAAAGAGAUUAAGUCACUUGCCCGAGGUCGCGGGAUUCGAACCCACUAACACACACAGGCACAGCGAAGCCAAGCUCUUGUGCUGGGUUUAUAUGCCUCACCCACGGAUCUCUCAAAGGGUAAGAGGUGCUGUGCAUUUGAUCCCGAAAUGCUUUUUGGAGUCCUUCACUCUUAGUGUGUGCAUUCAUUCAUUGCACAUAAACGUUUCCUGAGAUCUUGCUGUGUGCCAGAAUCUACUGUAACUGCCAGGUACUGUGCUCAGACUUACUUGAGAGCAGACCCUCCCUCUUGGCUCCGUUCAUUCAAUAACCAACAUUUCCUGAAAGUAUAUGGCCUGGGAAUCCGGAGGAGUGCUGGUAUGAGGUGGCUCUCUCCCAACCCUCAAGAUGAGGAGGAGAAAACUUCCACUUACAGAGAGGAAGGGGAGAAAUCAAGGAGUUUAACAAAAGGAGAGAAAUCUUGAGACAUAAAUUGAGCUUUGGAACUGCCUCAAACACUGCUAAAGCAAGACACAAGAGCUGGUUAAAGUAUGUAUUACCAUGGCUGACACUGUCAUCACC
rnacentral:lncRNA from 1 species